rnacentral:lncRNA from 1 species
UCUAUUUGAGGGCAUGAAUAUGGAAAAUUCAGCUCCAGCUCCUCCACCCCACUCCCUGAACAGCACUGCAGAACUGUGCUAAGCUCUUGUGGCUUGGAAAGAACAGAUGCAAGAGACAUAUAAAUGCCUCCAAAUAACUUAGUCCUCAACCUGAAGCCAAAGUGAUUUCGGUGUACCAGGAUUGAAAUACUUCUGUAUUCACAACUGAAUGGAUAAACGGGCACUCCUUGUGGCUCCCCAUUGUAUGUCCCCUAGAGGGUCAGCAAGGCCAAGAAUUGGUUUGUGGAACAAAUAUCCAUUACUACAAUCGGGGAUGAAAAAGAGUACACGCC